rnacentral:misc_RNA from 1 species
UCCGGUUUGUCACCGGCAGUCCCAUUAGAGUGCCCAACUGAAUGUGGCAACUAUUUACAAGGGUUGCGCUCGUUAAUGGACUUAACCAAACAUCUCACGACACGAGCUGACGACGGCCAUGCAUCACCUGUCACCUGAUUCCCGAAGGCACUCUCUCCUUUCGGAGAAAUUCCAGGGAUGUCAAGCCUUGGUAAGGUUCUUCGCUUAUCAUCGAAUUAAACAACACGCUCCACCGCUUGUGCGGGUCCCCGUCAAUUCCUUUAUGUUUUAAGCUUGCGCUCGUACUCCACAGACGGGAUGCUUAACGCGUUAGCUUCGCUACUACAAGGGUCGAUACUCAUAACAGCUAGCAUCCAUCGUUUACGGCGUGGACUA